CCAUCUUGUCUAAGUUGUCACCUCAACAGGCAAUUCAUUAUACACAUAUUCUUCUUUGUUCUUGGCCUUUGUUAGCUCCAAGUUUCUGCACUUCUUUACAUUUAUCUACGGCACAAUGCAGAUAUUCGUGAAAACGCUCACAGGCACGACGAUAACCCUAGACGUAGAAACAUUCGACACCAUUGAUAAUUUGAAAGGCAAGAUCUAUGAAAAAAUAGGGAUCAAAAGAGAUCAUCAGAGGCUGAUAUUUGGUGGCAAGCAACUGGAGAAUGGCACUGUGGAGGAUUACUCCAUAAGAAAAGAGUCUACUCUUCAUCUUGUUAUUCGAUUGCUUGGUGCCAUGCAACCAAAUCUUGAAUUUUCUCGUAAAAAAUACUUUGAUUUUGUACUUUUUGUUUAAGCAAUAUUAGCCAGAAUCAGAAAUGAGAAGUGAUAAGCAGAGAGAAUAAAUUCUUGGAUAUAAAUAUUAUAAGUUACAUUCCUCUACUGAAUUUGAAUAAGAUUUGUUUGAUCAUUGUGUUCA